rnacentral:rRNA from 1 species
UACAGAGGUGGCAAGCGUUGUUCGGAAUUACUGGGCGUAAAGGGCGCGUAGGCGGCCCACUAAGUCAGACGUGAAAUCCCCCGGCUUAACCUGGGAACUGCGUCUGAUACUGGAGGGCUUGAGUAUGGGAGAGGGAUGUAGAAUUCCAGGUGUAGCGGUGAAAUGCGUAGAUAUCUGGAGGAAUACCGGUGGCGAAGGCGGUUCUCUGGGACGGUACUGACGCUGAGACGCGAAAGCGUGGGGAGCGAACAGG